AUGGCUGAGCUCGCGGCAGGCGCCGUGAGCUCGCUGCUGGUCGUCAUCCGCAGCGAGGCGCUGCUGCUGCGCGGCGUCCGUGACGACGUGCAGUUCAUCAAGGAGGAGAUGGAGAGCAUGAAGAGCUUCCUGGCACACCUGUCCAGGUGGGCACCCCCCGGCGGCGAGCACGACGAGCAGGUGCGCACCUGGAUGAACCAGGUGCGUCUGCUCGCCCAGGACUGCAACAACUGCAUCGACCUCUACCUCUACAGGGGGAACCCCGACAUCCACCGCGCCAGAGGUGGGCUCCGAGGCUACCUCUGGUGGGCGACCUGGUUCCUGCACAAGCUGGCUGCGCAGCACCGCGCGGCCGAGCAGCUGUGCCUUCUCAAGGAGCGGGCGCGCGAUGUAGGCGAGCGGCGGUUGAGGUACGGCGUGGAGGUCCCUGACAAGUCAGGGAUGGGGCAAUUGGCUCCGAUGGCAUCGUCAUCAUCGUGGGCUGCUACAGCUGGUGGCUAUGCGGCCGGGGAUGACGAAGAAGAAGAUGAUGGUGACGGUCAACUUUUGGGGGCAGUGGCGACCGGCGGCCAUUCUGGUCCAGGAGCCUUCACCCAGUCUCGCACUCUGGACGACUAUGUCAAGGCAAAGCUAUGUGAGUGGAUGCAAGGAGUUCCUGGUGACGCCGACGAAAGUUUGUCCAUGGUCGUGGUGGCACCUUACACAUAUGAGGACCUCCUCGCUCUUGUACAAGAAACUUGGCUUUUGAGUCGAAACCCGGAGAGCUAUGGCUACCAUCGUAUUGUCGUGAUUGACAUUCCGGCCGUGCACCCCGAUUUUAUGCCACUACGGCCCAAGGAGGUUCUCUUCUAUAUUCUGCGGGAGCUCAAGCUUGCCAAAUCCAACCCCCAGGAGCAAGGCACAGAAGGCCAAGAGGAUCUUGACUCUUGGAAAGUUUACAUGAGAAAAUGGAAAAUUUACCGUGAAAAGAAGAGUGCUCUUCUUGAUAUCAAGGAGACUAUUGAAGAGAUGGAGAUUGAUGAAAAGCUUGACAAUAUCAGAAGUGGUAUUCAUGGUCAACUAGCAAAGGGCGACGGACAACCCAAGGGUGACAAGCUGCAGGGUAAUUUUGACCAGUUGGACCUGGAUGAACUACUUCAGCUGGUGCUCCAGACAGCAUCUCAACAAGAUCAAAAUGGGAAGAACAAAGACAUGCAUAUAUUGCCAGCGUGGGACAAAAAGAACAUCAUCGUCAAGAAGCUUAAGGAGCAUAUGGAAGCAAAGGAAAAGGACAAGAAGCUUGAAGAGGAAGAAGCUGCCAAGCAUAUAGGCGUGGAAGAUGGAGAAGAAGCCGUGGCCAAGCAUAUGGAAGAGGGGGCAGAAGUAACCAUACAUAUGGAGGAAGGAGGAGCCAAGCAUAUGGAGGAAGGGGAAGAAGUAACCAUGCAUAGGGAGGAGGAAGGGGGAGAAGUAACCAUGCAUAGGGAGGAGGAAGGAGGUGCCAAGCAUAUCGGGGUGGAAGAAGGAGAAGAAGCUGCGGCGGAGCAUAUGAAAGAGGAAGGAGGAGGAGAAGUGACAUGCAAACAUAUGGAGGAGGGGGCAGGAGAAGUAGCCAUAAAUAGGGAGGAGGAUAUGAAGGAUGGGGGAGGAAAAAAGCUGUUCCCCAAGAGCAGCAACAGCAACAAGCCCGUGCAGGCUCAAGACAGAUCCUUGGACAAGCAAGCUAUAAAGACAACAACGUCUACACUGGGUGAGGAUCAAAUAAAAAUACUCAUCCACAACGCAAAGGAAGAUAUCUUACGGGAGCUGCAGCAAGGCAAACAUGACAAGAGCGAAGGGACAGGUGAACCUGCAGCUACGGAUCAAAAUCCAGAAAAUGUUUCUGACAAAAUAUUUGCCGGUUUCGUGAACCAGAUGAUGGAAAAAAUGAAGCAUGAGUUUAGAGAGCAGUUCAAGAUCAAAGGGCUUGUGAACAAGAUUAAAAAUAACUUGAAUCCUCAUCCGUUCCGGGAUAAGAAGCGUGAAUGCCCCCUGUUUAUCCUCAAAGUUGAUGAGCUGAUGGAUGUUUCCACAUGUGAGGAUAUCAGAAAUGCUUUGAGCCUGUUAAACUGCAGCGCCGAUUUGAUGAUUGUCACCGCUGCAAAGGACAUCCAGCUGGCUAAAGAAUAUUGCUAUCCACUGCGGGAACCUAUAGACUAUUCUCUUGCUGGCCUCUACCAUGAUACAGUGCUCGAGCUUACCAGUCAGCAGAAGAAUGAAGACAGCUAUAACCCCCAAAUUUUUCAUGAUAUCUUGUACGAGUGUGAGCCACAUGAAUUCUGCAUGAAGAUCUUCACUCAUGCUUUGUGUGUUAACCCCAAGAGGAGUGGUGAGGAGUUACACAAGCUGCACAGCACCCUGCGGGCUUUACCAACACCAUCAUUCAACAACAUCGCUAAGGUGAUGUUCAAGUUCUCUUACAAUGACCUGCCUAAAGAAUACAAGUCCUGCUUGCUGUACCUAGCUAUCUUCUCUCCCGGACAAAAGAUCAGGCGGUCAACCUUGAUUGCACGCUGGGUUGCAGAAGGGCUGGCAUCCAAGGAAGAUUGGCCCAGUUCUGUGCGUCAGGCCAACCGAUGUUUUGACAAACUUGUUGGACGGUGCCUUGUUGAUCCUGCUGAUAUUGAUGCCAUGGGAAAUGUAAAGAGCUGUGUCGUAAGUGAUCCAGUUCAUGGAUUCAUUACCACCAUCGCCAGAAAACAACACAUUGUGGAGACACGCCUGUCACAUCACUUGGCUCGCCACUUCUCCAUUUUCAACGAUCUCCAACUCCGCAGCUCUGAUAGAAUUGAUCAAUUCUUCAAGGGGCUCUCUGAAUCAUCUCAAGUAUCCCUGCUCAAGGUGCUAGAUCUAGAAGGUUGUCAGUGCUUUCUUGAGAAGAAACAGCGGUACCUCAAGGAAAUCUGCAGCAAGAUGUUACUGCUCAAGUAUCUGAGCCUAAGGAGAACAGAUAUUACCCAGCUACCCAGUGAAAUCAACAACCUCCGUGAGCUAGAGGUACUGGAUAUCCGAGAAACUAAGGUGCCUCCACAUGCAACAGCACAUAUCCUGCUAUUGAAGCUGAAGCGUCUGCUUGCUGGUUACAUUGAUCCAAGUAAUUUUGAAUCUAAUCCCCAGAUUCCUCAUAGGAUCGACAAAAUGGUAAACAUGGAGGUACUAUACAAUGUCAAGGCCAAGCAGAGUCAUGAUUUAAAAGAUAUUGGAAGGCUAUGGCAGCUGAGGAAGCUAGGUGUGGUUAUUGAUGAUAAGAAUAAUCACGUAAGGAAUUUGCUUAAGGCGAUCAGUGACCUACAUGAGUGUCUCUGUUCUCUGUCAGUCACUUUUCCUGUAGCCGCACCACAUGAGGCAGAGUUACCAGAAGUCAAUGUAUCUUACCUAAAAAAACAUCCCAAGAUUCUUGAGUCUCUAAGCAUCAAGGGAACCACACAGAAGGGGCGUCUUCUUCCAUUGUUCAUAAAAGGUGAUAACAACAAACUUGCCAAGAUAACUCUAUGUCACACUCUGCUGAGCCAAAAUGAUCUGGAAGUCCUUGCCAAACUGCCCAAGUUGUGGUGUGUCAGGCUCCAACAUAUUUUAUGCACCGAGCACAAGCUGAACUUCAAGAAAGGUGAAUUCGGAUGCCUCAAGUACCUUCUUGUUGAGGACUCAGACUUGACUAAUAUCACUUUUGAGGAUGGGGCAGCCAGUGAGCUCGAGAAGAUGGUUUUGUCUAUCACCAGCAAAUGUUCUAUUUCAGGAGUUGACCGCCUUCUUAAAUUGAAAGAGCUUGAGUUGAACAGCAGCUUCUGUGGCAGUUUGCUUGACGAUGCCAAACAGAUAGCCAAGCUAACUCUUCGUGGUACAUUGCUAGAGCAAGAUGCUCUACAAACACUCGCCAAGAAACCAAAUAUACGCUCUCUGGUGCUCCAGGAUAAAUCUUUUAGUGGAAGUCAAAACAAGAUUACAUUGAAAAAAGAUGAGUUCUUGUGGCUCAACCUUCUUAUUGUUGACUGCUCGGCCAUCACAAAGAUAGUCUUCACCAGAGGAUCUGCUCCUAGGCUCGAGAAGAUUGUCUGGUCAUCUUCCACAUCUCUCUCCGGCAUCAACAAACUUCCCAGAUUGAAGGAGCUCGAGUUCAACUUCAACGGUGUCGGUGACAAAGUCCCUGAUGAGGUGAGGGAGGCCAUUAAAAAUCAUAAAAACAAGCCUAGUCUUAAACUUAAUGGGCCAGAAACACAAGACAAAGCAAAAGGAGAUGAACAAGAUGAUGACGAUGAUGCUGCAACAUUCCCUUUCUGCUGGAAGAAACAGGUUUGA
rnacentral:rRNA from 1 species